rnacentral:rRNA from 1 species
GACGGAGGGGGCUAGCGUUGUUCGGAAUGACUGGGCGUAAAGGGCGCGUAGGCGGUUUUUUAAGUGAGGCGUGAAAGCCCUGGGCUUAACCCAGGAGGUGCGUUUCAUACUGGAAGACUUGAGUGCGAGAGAGGAAAGCGGAAUUCCUAGUGUAGAGGUGAAAUUCGUAGAUAUUAGGAAGAACACCAGUGGCGAAGGCGGCUUUCUGGCUCGUAACUGACGCUGAGGCGCGAAAGCGUGGGGAG